AUUGAACGCUGGCGGCAGGCCUAACACAUGCAAGUCGAGCGGAUGAAGGGAGCUUGCUCCUGGAUUCAGCGGCGGACGGGUGAGUAAUGCCUAGGAAUCUGCCUGGUAGUGGGGGAUAACGUCCGGAAACGGGCGCUAAUACCGCAUACGUCCUGAGGGAGAAAGUGGGGGAUCUUCGGACCUCACGCUAUCAGAUGAGCCUAGGUCGGAUUAGCUAGUUGGAGGGGUAAAGGCCUACCAAGGCGACGAUCCGUAACUGGUCUGAGAGGAUGAUCAGUCACACUGGAACUGAGACACGGUCCAGACUCCUACGGGAGGCAGCAGUGGGGAAUAUUGGACAAUGGGCGAAAGCCUGAUCCAGCCAUGCCGCGUGUGUGAAGAAGGUCUUCGGAUUGUAAAGCACUUUAAGUUGGGAGGAAGGGCAGUAAGUCAAUACCUUGCUGUUUUGACGUUACCAACAGAAUAAGCACCGGCUAACUUCGUG
rnacentral:rRNA from 1 species